rnacentral:rRNA from 1 species
GACGAACGCUGGCGGCGUGCUUAACACAUGCAAGUCGAACGGAAAGGCCCUGCUUUUGUGGGGUGCUCGAGUGGCGAACGGGUGAGUAACACGUGAGUAACCUGCCCUUGACUUUGGGAUAACUUCAGGAAACUGGGGCUAAUACCGGAUAGGAGCUCCUGCUGCAUGGUGGGGGUUGGACAGUUUCGGCGGUUGGGGAUGGACUCGCGGCUUAUCGGCUUGUUGGUGGGGUAGUGUCUUACCAAGGCUUUGACGGGUAGCCGGCCUGGGAGGGUGACCGGCAACAUUGGGACUGAGAUACGGCCAAGACUCUGACGGGAGGAAGCAGGGGGGAAUAUUGCCCAAUGGGGGGAAGCCUGAUGAAGCAACGCCGGGGGCGGGAGGAGGGCUUCCGGGUGGUAAACCGCUUUCGCCUGUGACGAAGCGUGAGUGACGGUAACGGGUAAAGAAGCACCGGCUAACUACGUG